GAGCUUAGGAGAGAAUCUGUUAAAGGAGGUACCACACGGAAUCUUCAAUAUGAACACCAAGUUAGCCCAUUUAUGGUUGGACUCCAACAACAUCAAGAAGUUACAUGGUGAUAUAUUCUCUCCAUUGGCUAAGCUGCAGUUUUUGCACUUACACGGCAACAAGAUCGAGAGUUUACAAGGCGAUAUAUUUUCCCAAUUAGCCAAGCUACAGUGGCUG